rnacentral:rRNA from 1 species
AACGUACGCUGGCGGCACGCCUAACACAUGCAAGUCGAACGAAGUAGCAAUACUUAGUGGCAGACGGGUGAGUAACAUGUGGGUAUCUGCCCUUUGGCCUGGAAUAACACGAGGAAACUUGUGCUAAUACCGGAUAAGUCUUUACGGAGAAAGCUUUAUGCACCAUUGGAUGAGCCUGCACUUGAUUAGUUUGUUGGUGGGGUAAUGGCCUACCAAGACUGUGAUCAAUAGCUGAUUUGAGAGGAUGAUCAGCCACAUUGGGACUGAGACACGGCCCAAACUCCUACGGGAGGCAGCAGUGGGGAAUCUUGCACAAUGGAGGAAACUCUGAUGCAGCGAUGCCGCGUGAGUGAAGAAGGCCCUUGGGUUGUAAAGCUCUUUCGUCGGGGAAGAAAAUGACUGUACCCGAAUAAGAAGGUCCGGCUAACUUCGUGCCAGCAGCCGCGGUAAUGCGAAGGGACCUAGCGUAGUUCGGAAUUACUGGGCUUAAAGAGUUCGUAGGUGGUUGAAAAAGUUAGUGGUGAAAUCCCAGAGCUUAACUCUGGAACUGCCAUUAAAACUUUUCAGCUAGAGUAUGAUAGAGGAAAGCAGAAUUUCUAGUGUAGAGGUGAAAUUCGUAGAUAUUAGAAAGAAUACCAAUUGCGAAGGCAGCUUUCUGGAUCAUUACUGACACUGAGGAACGAAAGCAUGGGUAGCGAAGAGGAUUAGAUACCCUCGUAGUCCAUGCCGUAAACGAUGUGUGUUAGACGUUGGAAAUUUAUUUUCAGUGUCGCAGGGAAACCGAUAAACACACCGCCUGGGGAGUACGACCGCAAGGUUAAAACUCAAAUGAAUUGACGGGGACCCGCACAAGUAGUGGAGCAUGUGGUUUAAUUCGAAGAUACGCGCAGAACCUUACCAACACUUGACAUGUUCGUCGCGACUCUAAGAGAUUAGAGUUUUCGGUUCGGCCGGACGAAACACAGGUGCUGCAUGGCUGUCGUCAGCUCGUGUCGUGAGAUGUUGGGUUAAGUCCCGCAACGAGCGCAACCCUCACUUUUAGUUGCCAUCAUUAAGUUGGGCACUCUGAAAGAACUGCCAGUGAUAAGCUGGAGGAAGGUGGGGAUGACGUCAAGUCCUCAUGGCCCUUACGUGUUGGGCUACACACGUGCUACAAUGGUAUCUACAACAGGAAGCAAGACUGCGAAGUUAAGCAAAUCCCUAAAAGAUACCUCAGUUCGGAUUGCACUCUGCAACUCGAGUGCAUGAAGCUGGAAUUACUAGUAAUCGUGGAUCAGCGUGCCACGGUGAAUGCGUUCCCGGGUCU